AUUGAACGCUGGCGGCAGGCCUAACACAUGCAAGUCGAGCGAGCGGCGGACGGGUGAGUAAUGUAUGGGGACUGCCCGAUAGAGGGGGAUAACUACUCGAAACGGUAGCUAAUACCGCAUACUAUCGGAUAACCCAUAUGGGAUUAGCUAGUUGGUGAGGUAAGGACUCACCUAGGCGACGAUCCCUAGCUGGUCUGAGAGGAUGAUCAGCCACACUGGGACUGAGACACGGCCCAGACUCCUACGGAGGCAGCAGUGGGGAAUAUUGCACAAUGGGCGCAAGCCUGAUACAGCCAUGCCGCGUGUGUGAAGAAGGCCUUAGGGUUGUAAAGUACUUUCAGUCGGGAGGCGUUACCGACAGAAGAAGCACCGGCUAACUCCGUGCCAGCCGCCGCGGUAAUUC
rnacentral:rRNA from 1 species